GAUGAACGCUGGCGGCGUGCCUAAUACAUGCAAGUCGAGCGAACGGACGAGAAGCUUGCUUCUCUGAUGUUAGCGGCGGACGGGUGAGUAACACGUGGAUAACCUACCUAUAAGACUGGGAUAACUUCGGGAAACCGGAGCUAAUACCGGAUAAUAUUUUGAACCGCAUGGUUCAAAAGUGAAAGACGGUCUUGCUGUCACUUAUAGAUGGAUCCGCGCUGCAUUAGCUAGUUGGUAAGGUAACGGCUUACCAAGGCAACGAUGCAUAGCCGACCUGAGAGGGUGAUCGGCCACACUGGAACUGAGACACGGUCCAGACUCCUACGGGAGGCAGCAGUAGGGAAUCUUCCGCAAAGGGCGAAAGCCUGACGGAGCAACGCCGCGUGAGUGAUGAAGGUCUUCGGAUCGUAAAACUCUGUUAUUAGGGAGGAACAUAUGUGUAAGUAACUGUGCACAUCUUGACGGUACCUAAUCAGAAAGCCACGGCUAACUACGUG
rnacentral:rRNA from 1 species